GAUACAGUUCCCAAUGCUAUACAGUAGAAUCUCAUUGCUUAUCCAUUCCAAAGGCAACAGUUUGCAUCUAUUAAUCCCAGAUUCCCAGUCCAUCCUACUCCCUCCCCAUCCACCUCCCCCUCGGCAACCACAAGUCUUUUCUCCAAGUCCAUGAUUUUCUUUUCUAAAGAGAAGGAGAGGGUAGGAGUUAGUCAAGAGAGUGAGGCCAGAUACAAGGCCUCUGAAAUACUUCAGGGAAAGAGGGUGGCCGCUGGAAACAGAGUAGGCAGAGUUUUUACUACCCCUUCUUGGAACUGAGAGCAGCCCUGGAAACUUCUGUGAAGUGUAUACCCGGUCAGAAAGGCUCACCACUCUCCCCACUUUGCUGGAUAUCAACAGUUGGUAAGCCUGAGUCCUUGCUAUUAUCACUUAUAUACUUCCUUUGUGACUCAUGGUAUGUAAGCUAGAGUUCUAGUCCAGCUGUGGAGUCUGUCACUUUCCUCAGGGCUAGCCAAUGUCUCCUUUCUGGGCCAGGAGAGCCUUUUUGACAAAAUUACCUUAAAACAAAACCAAGCAGAACAAAACAAAAAAAUCCGACUAGUCUUUUAGAGAAUCUAUUUGCUAAGGGUUAAGACUACAGGUGUGUGUGUGGAGGGGGAGACUGUCUCAUGAAUAUAACCUCCCCACCGAAAUGACCUUCCCUAAACUUCUGCUGCUAUGACUUGAGGAGACCCAUUAGUGUUUAAUAAAACAUCCGCAUCAACACAGUUGAAGGGCAAGGUAGUUAAAGAAAUCUAAUAUCUUAAGAAAUGUGCCGACCCUGACAUUCUUAUGAGAAACUCAGGCAUUUUAGAAGCAAUUACUCUAACUUAAACAAUUUCAAUAAACUUCACAUUGAAAGGAAAUUACUCUUUGGAGGUACAAACGAAGAAAAAAGAAUCUAAUGUUUUUUCAUCUUGCAAAUAAAUAAAAGAACUCUUACUAAUGUUAACAGGGGAAAGGUUUGCAGGACUGAUGUUUGGUAUGUAGAACUGAUAUUUAAAAUAUUUAAGUGAUGCUUAAAAUAUGCUUUCAAUCCACAUAAAUGCAGUAACUUCUGGUUACUUAGAGAAGAGCUUCAGUGAAUAGCAGGAGGCCUCAUUUUAAUGCUGGCCAUUUAAAAAAUUAUUUGGGCUCACAAUAUUCUUUGCCAGAAGGCAAUGAAGUGUGAAACCAAUCCAAUGAAACCAGUUAGAUUGGGACACCACUACUUCCAUAUUUUUACCAAGCAUUCAACAUGCAGACACCAUCUGAAUCUAUGGUUCAAGAUCAUAAAUCCUCCUGUGAGGCUCAUCUGUUAGUACUUGGGGCUCAUUAAUCAUCCCAAAGGGACAACUGCAAAGAAAAACACAAUUGAAUACUGUCGAUCCAUAAAUGCUCACAAGUUCGCAUGGGGCCUAAUUUAAACAAAAAGAAACUCCUUUGUAUUGUCUUCCAAAUCAACCUCCAUGCUCAUGUAGGCCUUAAGAAUGCAAUUUCUAAGUGUUUCCACUUUUGUUCUCUUUUCUCACCUCUGACCAUUUUAUUAAACUACUACCUAUUGAGCGUCUAUUAUACAUCAUUCACCCUGGUAAGUACUUUAUAAACAGGAUCCUAUCUAAUUAAAAUGAUACCAUGAAGUAGGUUAUAUUAGUUUGAUAGGGCUGCAAUUACAAAAUAUUACAGACCAGAUGGCCUAAACCACAGAAAUUGUCUCAUCAUGUUCCUUUUGAACUUGUUCGCAUUGGCAUUGCCCAGCAUUAAUUGCCUUGCAGUUCUGGAGCCUUGACUUCUGAGGUCAAGGUUGGUUCCCACAGAGGGCUGUAAGGGAAGGCUCUCUCUUUGGUUUGUAGAUGGGCAUCUCCUCCCUGUGUCUUCACAACAGCCAUGACUGUGUCUAAAUUUCCUCUUCUUAUAAGGUCAUCAUU
rnacentral:lncRNA from 1 species